rnacentral:rRNA from 1 species
CAUAACCUUUAGCCACCCCCAAAUAUUAAAGGCAACGCCUGCCCAGUGAACAAUUAAACGGCCGCGGUACCCUAACCGUGCAAAGGUAGCAUAAUCAUUUGUCUAUUAAUUGUAGACCAGCAUGAAAGGCAAAAUGAGGGCCUAACUGUCUCUUAUAGUUACCAAUUAAACUGAUCUCCUAGUAAAAAAGCUAGAAUAUCCACAUAAGACCAGAAGACCCUGUGAAGCUUAAACUAAACUAUUAAACCCUAUAAUAACUACUUUUCGGUUGGGGCGACCUUGGAAAAAAAAAGAACUUCCAAACAUUGACCACAAAUCACACACCUCGGCCCACAAGCCUUAAACCACAGACCCAGUAUAACUGAUAAACGGACCAAGUUACUCCAGGGAUAACAGCGCCAUCUUCUUCAAGAGCCCAUAUCAAAAAGAAGGUUUACGACCUCGAUGUUGGAUCAGGACAUCCUAAUGGUGCAACCGCUAUUAAGGGUUCGUUUGUUCAACGAUUAACAGUCCCACGUGAUCU